UAUACAUUAAAUGUAUAAAUAAUAUUGGCAAAAUUUUUUUAAUUUACCCCUGGUGCUUUUUAAAAUUUAUUUUCUUUACUGUAUCCCUGUAUAAAAAAAAAAUCGAGGGUUCUUCAGUAAAGGGGCUGUUAAGCUAGCAGCAUAAUGUUCGGUAAACCCAAACAAACCCCGCGGCGCUCAGGAGAGGAAGAGUAUGACAGAAAAUAACGAGUUUACAGUUGGACUGGCGAAAUUGGAAUCGAAAUUGGAAAAUUUUUUUACUCUUCAAGUUCAUCCAAUGCUAGCAGUGUGGACGUGCGUCCGGAGACUGACGUUAGCUGGAUUUGCUAUUACUUUCAAUGGCGAACAGCGGAGCCGGGACUUUGGACCUCAGCAGCGGUGUUGUUAACGACUUUGCUGACCGGAUGUUCGGCGGUUGAACUCCUACUGGUGUCUCUCUGCCUCGCUGGCCACGCCGCCGUCUCCUGAGAUGGGAUCUCUGAUGCGGGCCCAGCUCAUAUUUACGGGGCUGGACUGUGACGGGAAGGAAGGAAGGAAGGGAGAGCAGUGGAAUGCAGUUUUCUCAGUGGGAGAAAUCAGACACCUUGAUGGAGGCAGACUACAUCUUGAAUACGACAGAAAACUGCCUCUCCAUGUUUGCUGUGGGAGAUGAAAAGAGAGAAAGAAGAGGAAGGAGAACAGGACUGGCACUGCAGGAGAGUCUAAACGGUUUAAUAGAGAAAGAGCCGGAGAGAGAAUAAAAAUAAAAAGGAGAGAAGAGGGACGGAGGAAGAGAAAGGUAAAAGAGAGUGGGAGUGAUAGAAAGAAAAUGGACAAAGACUGAGAGAGAGAGGAGAGAAGAACAGAGGAUACGAAGAACAGGAGGGAGACAAAGAAAGAAACGAGUGGGGAAUAGAAAAGAAAGAAAGCAAGAGGGAAAUUGGGAGAUGGAGAGAAAGAGAAGGGCAGCAGUGAAUACCUAAUGGGGAGUGGUGGAGUCUAUUGAUCCGCUCGGCAGCACAGGCUGUUUCAUUUGGUCAUUCAAUUAUUCAGUCAUUUGGUUGAUGUUGUUUCCCCCUACAAGGGUUCAGGCCGCACACUCAGACCUCCCGUGCAGAGCCUCCGAGUCGCACUCGAAAACAUGAAAGUUACAGCUCCAUGGGAGAGUGAGAGAGCGACACGGGGCUGCAGACUGGAAAAAUUGGAGGCUUUAGCAGGUUUAGAUGUGUCUUUAUACACUAGUCCCCAAAUCGCUCCAAUUUAGAGGUUGUCACAUUUUCUCUUCUUCAUGCAUUUUUCAUUUUUUGUCUCCCAUUUUCAGGCUCCUCGCAUUCAUGUUGGAAAACGAGCAUGCAUCAGUUAUGAAUUGAAAAUCUGAAAAUCCCACUUUGCCCAGAAUCCAGUUGUGACUAAAAGCUUUCUAAUCCUGGUAUGCUAAAAGUACAACCUUAACAUAAAACGUCAGAAAUGGCUUGUAGAACUUUUUUUUUGCUUGAUUAAGGAACUUUUUUAUAAAAGUUUACUAAUCCAUGAAUAAUAAAUAUUAAUGGAAAAGUCUCCCGAUAUUCCUUAUUUUCAACAAAUCCCCAAAAGCAGCAAUGAAAGUGUUGUGUGAGUAUUCAAAGCCUGAUGUGAGACAUAGAGCUCCAUCGUAAUGUACUGUAUUUUGAUUUAAUCAGUGUUGGGUGUCCUGCUGUUUAACACCUAACAGAAUAAUAAACGUGUUGAUAGUAAUCCACAACUAAUGCAGUAUUUCCUUUUCUUUGAGUGGCAAAAUUAAAAUUAAACUGUACAUUUGUUAACUGU